rnacentral:ncRNA from 12 species
ACUAUUUGAGGUGGAAAAUUUUGUUGCCUUCCACACGCCGAUGGUAUGACAAAGGCGGCAUUGCCGCUUUGAGAGAUGCAGGAGAAGUGUACGCCUGCCGAACAGC